GGGGGAUUAGCUCAGCUGGGAGAGCGCCUGCCUUGCACGCAGGAGGUCAACGGUUCGAUCCCGUUAUCCUCCACCA
rnacentral:tRNA from 1 species